rnacentral:sRNA from 1 species
GAGGUAUGCUGAGAGGGCCCUAUGGUCGCCCG